rnacentral:rRNA from 1 species
GACGUAGGGUGCGAGCGUUGUCCGGAUUUAUUGGGCGUAAAGAGCUCGUAGGCGGCUCGUCGCGUCGACCGUGAAAACUUGGGGCUUAACCCUAAGCUUGCGGUUGAUACGGGCGGGCUAGAGUUCGGUAGGGGAGACUGGAAUUCCUGGUGUAGCGGUGAAAUGCGCAGAUAUCAGGAGGAACACCAAUGGCGAAGGCAGCUCGCUGGAACGGUACUGACGCUGAGGCGACGA